AACCUGGUUGAUCCUGCCAGUAGUCAUAUGCUUGUCUCAAAGAUUAAGCCAUGCAUGUCUCAGUAUAAGCUUCUAUACGGCGAAACUGCGAAUGGCUCAUUAAAACAGUUAUAGUUUAUUUGAUGGUCAACAAUUACAUGGAUAACCGUGGUAAUUCUAGAGCUAAUACAUGCGCCCAAACCCAACUUCGUGGAAGGGUUGUGUUUAUUAGAUACAGAACCAACCCAGGCUCCGCCUGGCAUUGAGGUGAUUCAUAAUAACCGAACGGAUCGCAUGGUUCGCCGGCGACAAAUCAUUCAAGUUUCUGACCUAUCAGCCUAUCGUCGGUAGGGUAUUGGCCUACCGUGGCAAUGACGGGGUAACGGA
rnacentral:rRNA from 1 species